AAAAAAAAACGAAAAAUGAACAGAAAACAAAAAAAAACAAAAAAGGAAUAAAAAUUUACAAUUUUAAGGGCAUUACUGCCAUUUGAAAAAAAUUAGUCUAAUAGGACAUAAAGUAAUAUAGAUUAGUAUAAAGGGACAUAGUUACCAUUUUUUUGCUCUAAAAAAACAAAUUUCCCAAUAUUCAUCUUGCAUUGUUCAAACUCUACCACUUCUCUUUUGUCUUCUUCUCGCCGAUUCAAGCCCAUUAGAUCACGACAAUGGUACUUCAAACCGUAUGGUUUCUUGUUGACAAAAGGGUUUCCUAUUAAAAAGGACAAACAUACAAGCUUUGACAGUGAAGUCAUGCAGUUUUGGAAGACAGAUAGAGAAUCAAGCAAAAUAUGUUCUAGAAUAUGAGAAGCCAAUACAUAUCUAGGGUAAAUGUAAAAAUACAGAAGAAAUAAAUGAUCAAGAACUCUACUAGUUGAAGAGACCAUGACCCCUACGUCCUCUUUUACCACAGUUUCCACGGUUUAAAACCUUAUAUAUAUACACAAAUACGUACAUACAUAGUUACACAAACACACACCAUAAAGCCUCAUUUAAUUUAAUCAUUCCAACAAUCCUAUCUUAUUUCAUCACCAAACAAAGCCAUGAUCUCUAGGCUUUUUGACUUCAUGAAACAAUCCAAGUCCAUUCAGCUAAAUAACAAACAUUCUCUCGAUAUAUACACAAAUACAUACACAUACCAUAAAGCCUCUUCAUCAUCAUCAACCCCCAAAGCUUUGUGUGAUGUUUUCAUCAACCAUAGAGGAACUGACACAAAGAAAACCCUUGCAACAUUGCUUUACGACAAUCUCAAAGCCCGUAACUUACGUCCAUUCUUGGAUUACAAGACCUUGAAACCCGGAGAUCAUAUUUUUGAUCAUAUCAACGGCGCAAUUCACACUUCUAAAGUCGCAGUGACCGUGUUUUCUCCCAACUAUGGCCAUUCUUAUUCAUGUUUGCACGAGCUUGCGCUUAUAAUGGAGUCCAAGAAAAGGAUCAUACCAAUAUUUUUCGACAUCAAACCUUCACAACUCGAUGUUGUGAUCGAAAGGGUAAGAUGUCCUGAUGAUGAAAUCCAACGGUUUAGAUGGGCUCUUCAAGAAGCUAGAGAUAUCGUCGGACUUAUGUUCGAUUCCGAUAAAGGGUAAUUUUGAGUGUCCAUUAUAUACAAAUAUGUUCUAUUAAAAUUUCUGAUAUAACUCAACAUUUUCUUCAACCUUUUUGGCGCAUUUUAGGAAUUUAUCGGAGGUUGUUACAAGUGCAUCGGAUAUUAUUGUUCAGAGGUUGGUGGAGUUAGAGGCUGAAGAUGAAAGUGUCUAGGCGUUGGAAGAACUUUGAUUAACUCCAAAUUAAGUGCUUCUCUCAAAUAUAUACGUUUUUUAGAAACUCUUAUGGUUAAUUAAAUUAAUCGAUUUCAUUCAUGCAUACGUAUCCCUACUUAUUGAUAGUUGACAUAAGAGGCAAUAACUAUUUUCUUAAAGAAGAUUUCUGAUCUCCUUUUUGUAAAUUUAUUUGGUAUGUGUGGCAAGUUCAGAAAAAUAAAAUAACAUUCACUAUUUAUAUUUCCUAAUACCAAAAACUGUUGGUUCCUUUUCAAUAUCUUCAUAUUUCUAAAAAAAUAUUAAUUCUUAUUUUUCAUUUUCUAUGCGAACUGAUGACACAUAGCGAUAACAUUUUUUUUUGGAAACAUAUAAGAACUACGAUAAAGAAAAAAACGGAUAGUUAACAACAGUAGAAGAUAAGAGUGAUUGUGGUUCCAUAAUUUGAACCCGAACAACGUUAGGAUCUACUUGAGACACAAGAUCCAAACUCUAUUAAAGUUAGAGAACAAAACAAAUGAACUUUUGUUUAUGGGUAGUUUUGAUUACCUUUUAUGUUGUUUUUCAUUGGUUUAUAGAAUAAAGAGAUACAAAGAAGCAAAACGGAAUUAUCAUGAUUCCUAUAUCUUGGGAAAACUGUGGAAAGUGGAUGAUUAGUUAAAACAGAGAAUUAAUGUAGAAAGACUUAAUUCAAUUUAUUUUGUGAUGAGAGAUGUCAAUCAAAUCACAUAUCGAAAGUUUAGAUAAAGAAUGUAUAAUAUAUAAUAAGAAGUCUAACUCUGAUUAAUACGAUGCCUUUUGGUAAGAAGUCCAAAAGUAAAUUUAUGUUGGCUUAUCGCUUAAGCCCAAAGUGGACAAUAUCAUAAUAAUCAAAUAAUAAAAAAUUUGGACAUGAACUUGAAAAAAUUCCAAGCAAGAAGACUAAAAUACCUUUCAUGUAAGAAGGAGAGCAAUAUGACAGUGAUUAGUCUUGAAGAUCUUGGAAAUUCAGUUGUGGGAAGAGCAUCCUCUGUCUAAUUAAGGUGCCGAAUGUCUAAGACAUGACAAGAUAGGUGCCGAGAUGAUUCACUGGAAGAAAGGACACAAGGUGUGUACAUGGUCUUUAGUUUGACUGAAAGAACGAGAGAUGGCAAUCCAAAUGCCACAUCGGAAGUUUAAAUAAAUAAUGUCUAAUAUAAUAAGAAGUCUAAUUCUGAUUAGUACGAGACAUUUGAGAAAAAAUCCAAAAGUAAAUUCAUGUGGGUUUGUCUCUUAAUUGUAAAGUGAACAAUGUCGUACUAAUCGUACAAUAAAAAGGUUGGACUUUGGACAUGAACGUAAACAAAUCCCAACAUCUAUACAAAGGACAUAGAUAAAACAUAGAUUAAAUUGAGAAACAUUUGAUUAGGCUUGUGUAUUAUUGUUGAUUGCCGUUUAUAUCCCAUCAUCUCAGGCCCAUCGGAUUGGUCCCAAAGUGAAACUUGUCCUUAAGGUUGGGUCCGAAAGUCUCUACGUGAGUUCAUUUCUUCUCAUGUAGCUUCAUCAGCAAAAUGGUGCGAGACAAAAAAAAAGGCAAUAAAUUAUCUUGUGCUGACAAACCAAGAACUUCCACAAGAACAAUAUAUAUGAUGAAGCGGCGGAUGCUGUAAGGAUUGACUUAGUAGGCAGAGUUGCUAUAAAAUAGUUGUCUCCAGAGAGGAGUUACUUAAGAUGCAUAUCAGAGGGGAUUGAUAUAAAGCUCGACUUGGUCACUCCAUAUCAAAAUAAAUUUCAUGUCUAGGCAGCUCCUCGGCAACGAUUUCAACGUUUCAAGCAUGUUGUUUUCUCUGUUUGUUUAACUUCAUAAAGUUCUGAUUCUCACUUACUAAAUAAAUGAAGCUCUUUUGUGA